UACUUUGAAAAAUGACAUUGUGUCUGUUUCUUACAUUUUAAAAGGAAUACAACAUGUUUAAGAUGACAGGACAUCUGCAUAGGCUGUAAAUUUCGUUAAAUGAUGGAUGCAAAGAUGGAAGACAGAUGGAUAGAGGAAAAGACAGAAUCAGAUACUGCUGCCUGUGCUUCAAAGCUGUCUUAUUACCACAAGGCCGGCAAGCAUCAAUGUCCCCACAUCCCCCUCUGCCUCCCCCUGAAAUGUACCGAUUUAUAUGAAAAUUAAGAUUACAAAUUAAAGCCUGGCUAUCCUGGAGUUUUCCAGUUCAUCAGCCAUCCAAUAAAAAUGAUGUCAAGCCUGUAUGCAUAAUUCCCAGAAGAUUACUUUUGUCCUUACAGCUAAGCCCUGUCCCUGAUAUGAAAGAUCUCUAUCCACUUUUAUUGAAAUAAAGAACUAACAUCAUAAUCCCAA